rnacentral:rRNA from 1 species
UGCCUCAGUAACGGCGAGUGAAGCGGCAACAGCUCAAAUUUGAAAUCUGGUCACCUUACGGAGGCCCGAGUUGUAAUUUGAAGAGGAUGCUUUUGGCGAGGUGCCUUCCGAGUGCCCUGGAACGGGACGCCACAGAGGGUGAGAGCCCCGUAUGGUUGGACACCGAGCCUAUGUAAAGCUCCUUCGACGAGUCGAGUAGUUUGGGAAUGCUGCUCAAAAUGGGAGGUAAACCCCUUCUAAAGCUAAAUAUUGGCCAGAGACCGAUAGCGCACAAGUAGAGUGAUCGAAAGAUGAAAAGCUCUUUGAAAAGAGAGUUAAACAGCACGUGGAAUUGUUGAAAGGGAAGCGCUUGCGACCAGACUUGCGCCCGUCGGAUCAACCGUCGCUUGUCGGCGGCGCACUCCGGCGGGCUCAGGCCAGCAUCAGUUUUCCCGGGGGGAGAAAGGCGGUGGGAAUGUAGCUCCUAGGAGUGUUAUAGCCCGCCGCGUAAUACCCUCGGGGGGACUGAGGACCGCGCAUCUGCAAGGAUGC